AAUGCGCGAAAGCGUGACGGAGCAAUGCCGCGUGCAGGAUGAAGCCCCUCGGGGUGUAAACUGCUGUCAGGGUUUAGAAACACAAUGAUCAGACCCAAAGGAAGAGCCGGCUAACUCUGUGCCAGCAGCCGCGGUAAUACAGAGGGCUCAAGCGUUAAUCGGUGUCACUGGGCUUAAAGGGUGCGUAGGCGGACCUGUAAGUGUUUUGUGAAAUCCCACGGCUCAACCGUGGAAUUGCUUGGCAUACUGCAGGUCUUGAGGUCGGUAGGGGCUGCCGGAACUCUAGGUGUAGCGGUGAAAUGCGUAGAUAUCUAGAGGAACGCCAAAGGUGAAGACAGGCAGCUGGGCCGAUCCUGACGCUGAGGCACGAAAGCGUGGGUAGCGAACGGGAUU
rnacentral:rRNA from 1 species